rnacentral:rRNA from 1 species
UACAGAGGUGGCAAGCGUUGUUCGGAAUUACUGGGCGUAAAGCGUGCGCAGGCGGUUUUGUAAGUCUGUCGUGAAAGCCCCGGGCUCAACCUGGGAAUUGCGAUGGAGACUGCAAGGCUUGAAUCUGGCAGAGGGGGGUAGAAUUCCACGUGUAGCAGGUGAAAUGCGCAGAUAUCAGGAGGAACACCGGUGGCGAAGGCGGCUGC